CAAUACGGAAGGUACACGAGUGGCGCACGGGUGCGUAACGCGUAUGUAAUCUGCCCUUGACCGGAACAAAACAGCUGGAAACGGCUGCUAAUAUUCCAUGGUCAUUUUCGGAGGCAUCUCUGGGGAUGUAAAGAUUUAUUGGUCAAGGAUGAGCAUGCGUAUUAUUAGAUAGUUGGUGGGGUAACGGCCCACCAAGUCGACGAUGAUUAGGGGUUCUGAGAGGAUUAACCCCCACACUGGAACUGAGACACGGUCCAGACUCCUACGGGAGGCAGCAGUAGGGAAUAUUGGGCAAUGGAAGGAAUUCUGACCCAGCCAUGCCGCGUGAAGGAAGACGGUCCUAUGGAUUGUAAACUUCUUUUAUCGCAGAGUAAAUUGGGGCACGUGUGCCCCAUUGAGAGUAUGCGAUGAAUAAGUAUCGGCUAACUCCGUGCCAGCAGCCGCGGUAAUACGGAGGAUACGAGCGUUAUCCGGAUUUAUUGGGUUAAAAGGGUGCGCAGGCGGAUCGGUAAGUCAGGGGUGAAAAGUUCGUGCUUAACAUGAAUCGUGCCUUUGAUACUGCCGGACUAGAGUGCAAUAGACGUGGGCGGAAUGUGAUGUGUAGCGGUGAAAUGCUUAGAUAUGUCACAGAACACCGAUCGAGAAGUCAGCUCACGAGUUUGCAACUGACGCUCAUGCACGAAAGCGUGGGGAUCAAACAGGAUUAGAUACCCUGGUAGUCCACGCUGUAAACGAUGAUCACUCGUUGUUGGCCGGCGACGGUCAGUGGCCAAGCGAAAGCGAUAAGUGAUCCACCUGGGGAGUACGAUCGCAAGGUUGAAACUCAAAGGAAUUGACGGGGGCCCGCACAAGCGGAGGAGCAUGUGGUUUAAUUCGAUGUUACGCGAGGAACCUUACCCGGGCUUGAACGUAAGACGACGACGCAGGAGACUGCGUUUCCUUCGGGCGUUUUGCGAGGUGCUGCAUGGUUGUCGUCAGCUCGUGCCGUGAGGUGUUAGGUUAAGUCCUGCAACGAGCGCAACCCUUACUUUUAGUUGCCAGCAUGUAAAGAUGGGGACUCU
rnacentral:rRNA from 1 species